rnacentral:pre_miRNA from 1 species
AUUUGAGAGCAAGAGAGACUCGAAAGGGAGAGAGCAAGAGAAAGACUCAUCACAGAGGUUAAAGUUCCAAGCAGAGAAGGGUCUUUCUCUUGCUCUCUCCCUUUUGGGUUUUGUCUCUUAUUUUUAU